rnacentral:tRNA from 1 species
GCCAGGGUGGCAGAACCCGGUUAUUGCGCCAGUCUCGAAAACUGGUUCCCGCAAGGGAUUCCGAGUUCAGGCCCUUCUUUCUUUUCAAAAAAGAAAGAAGCCCCUGGGGAAUAAAGAAAAUGAAACUCCCCGGGCUUUGAAAACAAGAAUGGAUGGCCGCUCAAAAAUCUCGGCCCUGGCU